GUGCUCACUUUGGCAGCACAUAUACUAAAAUUGGAACAAUACAGAGAAGAUUAGCAUGAUCCCCACACAGGGAUAGCAUGCAAAUUUGUGAAGCAGUCCAUAUUUUA
rnacentral:snRNA from 1 species